AGUUUAGUGGCAGAGCACUUGCCUAACAUGCAUGAGGCCCUGGGUGCGAUUCCCAG
rnacentral:tRNA from 1 species